rnacentral:rRNA from 1 species
UACAGAGGGUGCGAGCGUUGUUCGGAAUUAUUGGGCGUAAAGCGCUUGUAGGCGGCACGUCAAGUCGCGUGUGAAAUCCCCAGGCUUAACCUGGGAAGUGCGCGCGAAACUGACGAGCUUGAGUGCCGGAGAGGGUCGCGGAAUUCCCGGUGUAGAGGUGAAAUUCGUAGAUAUUGGGAGGAACACCAGUGGCGAAGGCGGCUCACUGGACCGGUACUGACGCUGAUGCGCGAAAGCGUGGGGAGCAAACGGG